rfam:Triticum aestivum genome assembly, contig: Triticum_aestivum_CS42_TGACv1_scaffold_031023_1BL
GUAGUACUCCCUCCGUCCGAAAAUAGUCGUCCGAUAAAUGCAUAAAAAUGGAUGUAUCUAAAAUUAAAAUACAUCUAGAUACAUCCAUUUCUUCGACAAGUAUUUCAAGACAGAGGGAGUACGUC